UACGAAGGGGGCUAGCGUUGCUCGGAAUCACUGGGCGUAAAGCGCACGUAGGCGGCUUUUUAAGUCAGGGGUGAAAUCCUGGAGCUCAACUCCAGAACUGCCUUCGAUACUGGAAGACUUGAGUCCGGGAGAGGUGAGUGGAACUGCGAGUGUAGAGGUGAAAUUCGUAGAUAUUCGCAAGAACACCAGUGGCGAAGGCGGCUCACUGGCCCGGUACUGACGCUGAGACGCGAAAGCGUGGGGAGCGAACAGG
rnacentral:rRNA from 1 species